UACGUAGGUGGCUAGCGUUGUCCGGAUUUACUGGGCGUAAAGAGCGCGCAGGCGGUCGUUCAAGUCGAGUGUGAAAGCCCCCGGCUCAACUGGGGAGGGUCACUCGAUACUGAUCGACUCGAAGGCAGGAGAGGGAAGCGGAAUUCCCGGUGUAGUGGUGAAAUGCGUAGAUAUCGGGAGGAACACCAGUGGCGAAGGCGGCUUUCCGGCCUGCUCUUGACGCUGAGGCGCGAAAGCUAGGGUAGCAAACGGG
rnacentral:rRNA from 1 species